GCCGUCGUAGAGCAUGGCGGUCGCCCUCCUACUAUCAGAAUUGUUUGAAAAAUGUUGCAAGAGGGAACCGGGGGUUCGAUUCCCCCCGAUGGCA